CCAUUAGGCAGUAAACCGUUUAGCUCUUCGGCAUUAAAUUGAGUAAGGAUCCCUCACCCUAUUCUCUAUCAUAGAACUGAAGCUUAAAUAAAUAAUAAUGUGGUAUUUUAUGCGAUUUUAGUAAAUAUGCAUAAUUAAUUACAUGUUGCUAAUGGAGCCGGAACCGAAAAUUAUCUACUACUGUUGUUGAUUUUUUUUACAGUUUACCUGCAUGAUAGUAUCUUAUUUAU
rnacentral:lncRNA from 1 species